rnacentral:lncRNA from 1 species
GGCGCCAUGUUGUCCGGAACCGGGAGCAGCCGUCUUGUACGGCGCCAAUGUGUCGUCACGGGCGCGGGGCGGACGGUUGGGUUUGAACGGGGCGGCGGCGGCCGGGGAGCGGGAACUGGGGCCAGGGACUCGGAAACCGGGAUUCGGGAGCGGGGGGCCCCGAGCGGGAGGUGAAAGCGGCCGAGGGGCCCGUCGGAGGAGGAGGCAGUGCGGAAGCGGCGGCCGCCGUUGCCUGAGGCCGGGGCGGGCGCGGCGGGGAAGGAGCGCGGGAGAAGCGGGGAGAGAAGGUCGGCGCUGCCCGGGAGCGGCUGCAUGGAAGGAGCGCUGAGGCGGUGCCGCCGGCGGUGGGCGCGGAGCGUGUGGGGAACCCCCCGAUAAGUGCGGCGCGGAUCCAUCCGAGGAAAAGUAUAUCCUUCAGCAAUGGACAAGAUUUACACAGACCCUAAUAUGGAAAUGGAUAACACAGAGCACAUCAGAAGGAAGCGACUGUCCUCUAUUUUAAAGGCUCCACGAAAUGCCCUGGAUGAUCUGGGAAAUGGGAAUGAAAUGACAGAGGACAUCCAUGUAGAGAGACGCAGGAGGAGCUCGCGCAGGGUCAGCUUUGCCAGCACCAUCAACUGCAGAGUCUUCCAGCGAGAUCUUAAGAACAGCACAUCAGAGACAGAAAAUACAGGUAAAACUCCUUUAUCUUUUCCUGACAGGUUUCCCAGACUAUUAACAACAAGAUUUUAGCUAGAAUUUAAGAAAUUAGAAGUUUUCCAUCUGGGGAAGGAACAACAUGGUCAGCUCUUUAUCCUGGCCUGGCUGAAAACUCCUUAGUCACAGAGUUCUUGCCUUGAGAAGACACAUCAAGAGUGAGAACUUCAGAAUAUUGUUUUCUGUGCACUUCACUCUUGUCUCAUGCCGAGUCAGAAUUGUGUGGGUUGGGCAAAACCUUUAAGAUAAUCAAAUACAACUGUGAUCGUGUUU